rnacentral:lncRNA from 1 species
CCUGAAUGUCAAGGUCAGUAUUGUCAAAUUCUUACUUGUGUAAUUUAUGCUGCAUCUCUAUGAGAGAAUUGGGAAUUGAUCUUGAAUUCGUGCCAUGUGAAAGUUAGCUGAUGUGGGUGUUGCUCCUGUUACAUGUUGUGUAAUAGCCAUACCGAUCCAACUUUACUCAAGGAUGGUGAGGUUCAGAAUAUUGAAUUUUUGUUGCUGUUCCCAACACCCAAUGGUCUAUGGUCCUAUUGCUGAUCCCAAUCCCACUCGUUCUUGCUUGCUUCUCAUUUGAUCAAUACAUAUCAUAUCCUUCUCGUUUAUUUAACAGCUUGCUUGUUUAUUUUACAGCUUGCUGUUUUAUCCUUCUCGUUUCAGCAAUUAGUUAACUGAAUUUCCCUUAUUGCAUCUGAUUAGUACUGCUGGGCUGCCUGGCAGCAUUUGCUCAGAAGCUUGACUGCCGAGACUAGACUAGACUAACUUGAUUUUCUUGAUACAUCUAAAUAUUCCAAUGUGAUAUGUUAGAAAUACAGGGUGGAUAUUUGUUUGGCAUAUGAGGAAAUUUUGGUUAACCAAUGUUGACGCUUUCACUUGCUCACCAUGUUCUUUUGGUCUGGAUUACUUCUCUAACAUUUUAAAAUUUGCUACUGUCAAGUUUCAGUUGGCGCAGGUGUACAGCGGAGGUAUAUAUGUGAUAAGGUGAUGUGAUCAUUAGAAAAAGUAAGGAACUGCACAUCUGGGCCUCACAUUAAUUACAAAUGUUCAGUGGCUUACAAAAGGUACAUUUUACCUUGUUUGAAUGUAGCCAGAGAAGGGAGAGAUGUGUGGGAGCUCGAGGGCGAGAGGAAGACGGAGACGGCACGGGGCAGCGUCCUGCAGGUGGGGAGAGCUGGAGGCAUGCUGGCCCAGGCAUGGUCAACACGAGGCGAUCGAGCUGCUCUGCUCGUUACUGAAGAACAGAGGCAGCAGCAGGUUCGUGGCGAUGUAACGGCGACACAAGAGGUUCUGGAGACAGGGCGGCCGGUACCGGCUGGAACGGGGUGGAUCCAGUCGGCCGGCGUCGGUUCCGGGCAACGGCGGCGGUGGACAGAGCUCGGGCGCGUAGCUCAGCCAUCCAUGGCGUACUGCCGAUGGUGCACAGAGAGAGAUGUUAGAGAGAGGGGAAAACUCAGGCUUCAAUCCAAUCUAUCCCUGUACGGUAAGAUCCUCAGUCAUCAAUUCCUGCUUAGGACCAACUAAUUGUUGAUGAGAUGCAUGUGCAAGGCACUGAACUGUAGCACCACGGUAUAUAUCUUCUUAAGUAAGUGAUUUGUGCAUAAUACAAUGAGUUUAUAUGUACUUGGAAGUAGUGUCUUCUUUUUUCCUGAACGGUACAGUACACUGCAUGUACAACAAUAGUGGCUGAGAGGGUUAUUUGCAUUGUUGGUCCUUGUGGAAUCAAUAGACCUCAGCUGUUUAUUUGUAUACUCUCUUGCUUUUUGCAGUGUGGUAUUGGUUGCUAGACACAAAGGCAUACACAAAUCUUUGCUCGUGCCAUUAUUUAUUCAGGAAGCACCUAGCAGUGUAAUCUCAUGCAUCAAGUAAGAUCUUGCUAUUGGAUGCAAAGAGUUGUCUGAUAUGUUUGCUCUUUUUUUUUUGACAUAAUCAUCCGGUGAUAUAUUUCCCCUUUGAUAUUUUACUGGAUGUUUAUUAUUUUUGACAUAAGUAUACUCUCUUUUGACCUAAUUAGACUAUGGUAUCAAUUUUUAAUGACAAUGGUAGGAGUGAAUAUGGACUCUGCACUCUUGCGCCUUUAAUGUGUUUGUUCUUCCCUAGCCUAGGUAGAGUAAGGAGGUUUUUAUUCCCCAGUUAAGGAAUCUGUGUUUGGCAAAAAAAAAUCCCUUAAUUUCGGGCUGUUUUUCUAUCUCUUGUGUGUUUAAUUAUUGUUUGGGUGAUCUUUUUUUACCUGGUUGCGAAAUUUAUUCAUGGAUGACGAUUGUCGUGCAGGUCGAAGGGGGUUGUUUGAGCCCAACGUUAGUGUUAAAAAUCACCUCAUCUCCACUGGCGAACCCAGCCGCAACGCAUCCUUCACAUCACUGAUGGUGUAUCAUUCUCCAGUGUCUCAACAUAGUCUGCCUUUUAGUUAUCCAACGUCGAUGUUAUAUCAUUCAAACUCAAAGUUCAGCUUGCAAGCUCUUAUGUUAUUAUCUAACCAGUGUUUUGUUUCAAAUGCUUUGUCUUAAUUCAGACCUUUGAUUCUACGAUCAUAUAUUGGAGUUAGUCUUUGUUAGUUUUUAUUGUAAUACUGCUCGGAUGGUUGACACCUUUCUUUAUGGGCAUGAUAAAUGUUCUUUAAUCUUUUGUUCUGGUCGUCCUGUUUGAGUGGUAAAUUAUUCUUAAGGUUUGUAAGAACAAAUUUAUAUAUUAUGUAUCCAUUGCAAUGCAUGGGUUCUUACCUACAUAUUAAAUCUACAUGCAAUCUAUGACAUGCUCGAUCACAGAAUUAAAGAUUUGGAUUAGUGUUUAUUCAACGCAUUUCCAAGUAUUAUUCAUAUUAAGGCAUUGUUUUUAAAUCAAUUUAUUGGGUUGGGGACAUGAAAAUAUAUUUUUCUCUCGGAGCACAAUGUCAACCAUAUGAAAUCAUGGCACUCGGCAUAUGCGAGGAAUUGUACUCG